rnacentral:rRNA from 1 species
GAUGAACGCUGGCGGCGUGCUUAACACAUGCAAGUCGAACGAAGCAUUUGCGACAGAUUUUUUCGGAAUGAAGUUGCUUAUGACUGAGUGGCGGACGGGUGAGUAACGCGUGGGUAACCUGCCUUGUACUGGGGGAUAGCAGCUGGAAACGGCUGGUAAUACCGCAUAAGCGCACAAUGUUGCAUGACAUGGUGUGAAAAACUCCGGUGGUAUAAGAUGGACCCGCGUCUGAUUAGCUAGUUGGUGAGAUAACAGCCCACCAAGGCGACGAUCAGUAGCCGACCUGAGAGGGUGACCGGCCACAUUGGGACUGAGACACGGCCCAGACUCCUACGGGAGGCAGCAGUGGGGAAUAUUGCACAAUGGAGGAAACUCUGAUGCGGCGACGCCGCGUGAGUGAAGAAGUAAUUCGUUAUGUAAAGCUCUAUCAGCAGGGAAGAUAGUGACGGUACCUGACUAAGAAGCUCCGGCUAAAUACGUG